UACAUUGUUACAUUGAAUCUAAUUCCUCGCUGUAACGUCAACACUUAAUUAGUGGGAGGCCAGACAAUAUUUGCUAAAUUCAUUGGUUAUGACAACCAAGUAAUUAUAUUUCUUUUAUAAAGCUAAAUAAAACUCACUACUAGCAGGCAGCAGUAAAGAUGUAUGGAAAUCAACCUCAGAUUUAUGUGAAGACGAGAGAAUAAAAUAAAAUACACAAAUAAACACACACAACAGAGUUAAUCACCCUUGCUCCUCCACAAACACAUUUUGUUCAACAGCAGUGUGAGCAGUAUCAACAGCUGUCAUUAGAAAAUAAAAUCGGCUUUAUUUAAUUUUGGAGAUGAGCAAAGCUUCCACCCUCCGUAUAAGGCGGGUAGGAAAUUCGUGAACUUCCGGAAUAUCCUCGGAAGUUGUCGGGCUGAGUGACAACUUUGAAAAGAACCGCGUACAAUUCUGGCAGGAGGGGACCGAGACUUCAGGGCUUGGAAAGGAGACAAAAGUAAUGGAUUUAAUGACCGAAGAGACCAGAGAUGCAUAUAAGACAAUAGCAGAAUUACUAGAGCAACUCGCACAAGAAGCAAGCAGACUUGAAGAACAUCAGAAGAAGCUGACCGAGCACAAUCAAGCCCUCGGCGAUCUUAACAAGGCCUUUAAUGAGAGCCAGUCCAGACUGAAGCGCCUGGCGAUGAUUAAGUGUGGCAGCCAUCUACUGAACCUUUAAAUGUCUUUGCUCACACAAAUAAAGCUCAUUUGCUUCCA